GAUGAACGCUAGCGGCAGGCUUAACACAUGCAAGUCGAGGGGUAUAGUUCUUCGGAGCUAGAGACCGGCGCACGGGUGCGUAACGCGUAUGCAAUCUACCUUUUGCAGAGGGAUAGCCCAGAGAAAUUUGGAUUAAUACCUCAUAGUAUGUGAGAAUGGCAUCAUUUUCACAUUAAAGUCACAACGGCAAAAGAUGAGCAUGCGUCCCAUUAGCUUGUUGGUAAGGUAACGGCUUACCAAGGCAACGAUGGGUAGGGGUCCUGAGAGGGAGAUCCCCCACACUGGUACUGAGACACGGACCAGACUCCUACGGGAGGCAGCAGUGAGGAAUAUUGGACAAUGGGCGCAAGCCUGAUCCAGCCAUGCCGCGUGCAGGAUGACGGUCCUAUGGAUUGUAAACUGCUUUUGUACAGGAAGAAACACUGGUUCGUGAACCAGCUUGACGGUACUGCAGGAAUAAGGAUCGGCUAACUCCGUGCCAGCAGCCGCAGUAAAAC
rnacentral:rRNA from 1 species